UACGAAGGGUGCAAGCGUUACUCGGAAUUACUGGGCGUAAAGCGCACGUAGGCGGCUUUGUAAGUAAGAGGUGAAAGCCCAGAGCUCAACUCUGGAAUUGCCCUUUAGACUGCAUCGCUUGAAUCAUGGAGAGGUCAGUGGAAUUCCGAGUGUAGAGGUGAAAUUCGUAGAUAUUCGGAAGAACACCAGUGGCGAAGGCGGCUGACUGGACAUGUAUUGACGCUGAGGUGCGAAAGCGUGGGGAGCAAACAGG
rnacentral:rRNA from 1 species